rnacentral:piRNA from 1 species
UAGCAGAUGUUUCCUUGUGUGGUGGU